ACGGAGGGUGCUAGCGUUGUUCGGAAUUAUUGGGCGUAAAGAGCGUGUAGGCGGUUUGGUAAGUCAGAUGUGAAAGCCCUGGGCUCAACCUAGGAAGUGCAUUUGAAACUGCCUGACUUGAGUAUGGGAGAGGAGAGUGGAAUUCCCAGUGUAGAGGUGAAAUUCGUAGAUAUUGGGAGGAACAUCCGUGGCGAAGGCGACUCUCUGGACCAAUACUGACGCUGAGACGCGAAAGCGUGGGGAGCAAACAGG
rnacentral:rRNA from 1 species